rnacentral:piRNA from 1 species
CAGACAGAUUGGACCAGAUCUCCCUUUGAAC